UCAGUAUAGGAGGUCAGCCUGCCCAGUGACCACAAGUUCAACGGCCGCGGUAUUUUGACCGUGCAAAGGUAGCGCAAUCACUUGUCUUUUAAAUAGAGACCUGUAUGAAUGGCCAAACGAGGGCUUAACUGUCUCCCUUUUCAAGUCAGUGAAAUUGAUCUACCCGUGCAGAAGCGGGUAUAACGAUACAAGACGAGAAGACCCUUUGGAGCUUAAGGUACAAAACUCAACCACGUUAAGCAACUUAAUAAAAAGUAAAAACUUUGUGAAACAUGAGAUUUUACCUUCGGUUGGGGCGACCGCGGAGGAAAAAAAAGCCUCCAAGUGGACCGGGACAAACUCCUAAAACCAAGAGAAACACCUCUAAGCCACAGAACAUCUGACCAAACAUGAUCCGGCCACCAGGACCGAUCAACGAACCAAGUUACCCUAGGGAUAACAGCGCAAUCCUCUCCCAGAGUCCAUAUCGACGAGAGGGUUUACGACCUCGAUGUUGGAUCAGGACAUCCUAAUGGUGCAGCCGCUAUUAAGGGUUCGUUUGUUCAACGAUUAAAGUCCUACGUGAUCUGAGUUCAGACCGG
rnacentral:rRNA from 1 species